rnacentral:rRNA from 1 species
UACGAAGGGGGCUAGCGUUGUUCGGAAUUACUGGGCGUAAAGGGCGCGUAGGCGGCGUGUCAAGUCAGGCGUGAAAGCCCCGGGCUCAACCUGGGAACCGCGCUUGAGACUGGCAUGCUCGAGUUCGGGAGAGGAUGGUGGAAUUCCCAGUGUAGAGGCGAAAUUCGUAGAUAUUGGGAAGAACACCGAUGGCGAAGGCAGCCAUCUGGACCGACACUGACGCUGAGGCGCGAAAGCGUGGGGAGCAAACAGG